rnacentral:rRNA from 1 species
CCUACGGGUGGCAGCAGUGGGGGAUAUUGCACAAUGGGGGAAACCCUGAUGCAGCGACGCCGCGUGUGGGAAGACGGUCCUCUGGAUUGUAAACCACUGUCCCCAGGGACGAAGAUGACGGUACCUGGGGAGGAAGCUCCGGCUAACUACGUGCCAGCAGCCGCGGUAAUACGUAGGGAGCGAGCGUUGUCCGGAAUUACUGGGUGUAAGGGGAGCGUAGGCGGGACUGCAAGUUGGGUGUCAAAUCUACCGGCUCAACCGGUAGCCGCACUCAAAACUGCAGUUCUUGAGUGAAGUGGAGGCAGGCGGAAUUCCUAGUGAAGCGGUGAAAUGCGUAGAUAUUAGGAGGAACACCAGUGGCGAAGGCGGCCUGCUGGGCUUUUACUGACGCUGAGGCUCGAAAGUGUGGGGAGCAAACAGGAUUAGAUACCCUAGUAGUC